rnacentral:rRNA from 1 species
UGGGGAAUCAUGGUCAAUGGGCGAAAGCCUGAACCUGCGACGCCGCGUGAGUGAUGAAGGUCGUAAGAUCGUAAAACUCUUUUCAGGGAGCUUAAAGCUCCGGCUCUAACAGAGCCUGGAGUCUGACUAUCCCUGGAAUAAGCCCCAGCCAACUACGUGCCAGCAGCUGCGGUAAUACGUAGGGGGCGAGCGUUAUUCGGAAUUACUGGGUGUAAAGGGUAUGUAGGCGGCCUGACAAGUCGCGUGUCAAAGUCCAGCGCUUAACGCUGGGUUCGCACGUGAUACUGUCUGGCUAGAGGGCUGGAGAGGUGAGCGGAAUUCCCGGUGUAGUGGUAAAAUACGUAGAUAUCGGGAGGAACACCAGCGGCGUAGGCGGCUCACUAGACAGUUUCUGACGCUAAGAUACGAAAGCGUGGGGAGCAAACAGGAUU